rnacentral:rRNA from 1 species
GAUCGAAGUCUGCAACCCGACUUCGUGAAGCUGGAUUCGCUAGUAAUCGCGCAUCAGCCAUGGCGCGGUGAAUACGUUCCCGGGCCUUGUACACACCGCCCGUCACACCAUGGGAGUCGGAAAUGCCCGAAGCCGGUGACCCAACCAAAAGGAGGGAGCCGUCGAAGGCAGGUCUGAUAACUGGGGUGAAGUCGUAACAAGGUACC